rnacentral:tRNA from 1 species
GCGGACGUGGCUCAGUUGGUAGAGCACAACCUUGCCAAGGUUGGGGUCGCGGGUUCGAACCCCGUCGUCCGCUCCA